GCCCAGCCGUAAACAAUUAACUUACACCUAAUUAACGCCAGGGAACUACGAGCCAUGCUUAAAACCCAAAGGACUUGCGGUGUCCCAUCCCCCUAGAGGAGCCGUGUUCUUGAAUCGAUAAUCCCCGCUAUACCUAUCCCUCCUAUGCUAAUAUACGCCUGUAUACCUCCGUCGAAAGCCUACCAUAUGAACGCACAUAGUAGGCUCAAUAAUUAUUUACAUUAACACGUCAGGUCAAGGUGCAGCUUACGGAGUGGCAAGCAAUGGGCUACAGUUUCUAAUAUAGAACAAACGGAAGGCUAUGUGAAACCACAGCCAUGAAGGCGGAUUUAGUAGUAAAAAGAAAAUAGAGUGUUCUUUUUAACUCGGCUCUGGGACGCGUACACACCGCCCGUCACCCUCUUCAAUGAUUUUAAUUUAGAUUUAUAACCUCAUACUCAUAUUCUAGAAGAGGCAAGUCGUAACAUGGUAAGUGUACUGGAAAGUGCGCUUGGCUACCAAAUGUAGCUUAA
rnacentral:rRNA from 1 species